AGAUACGCCCCUUGGAUGCCUGCAGAGAAGCUCUGGGGCUUCAGUCAAUGACUCAGGGUAGCCACCGAACAUGAUGCUCGGGCAGUGGGUGCCACCUGGACUCCACUCUCCCCUCUCUCUGGGAUCAUAGAGUCCAAGGUGUUCUGUGGCCUCUCGGCCAAUCCCAGCAGCUCAGCGUGCAGAAGACCGAGGAGCCAUUGGUCAGUGUAGGAGGUGCCUGGAGUUUUGGAGAUGGGAUCCACAGGUCUCUUCACACCGAACGCCUCUUCCCCUCUUGUGCCAGCUUGAUGCUGACUUCAAUAUGUUUGGGCUGCUGGGCCCAUGGGAGGAGAAAGGCUGGGGGAAUUCAACACAACACGAAAUAAUCAACAAAUUCGGGGAAUGUUAAUCUGACCAUCACCAGUUACAAAUGAUGUUUCAUGCUACCUUCUAUUCCUGCCUUCAUAAAUCAAGGAAAAGAAAAAGAGAACAUAUAUCCCCCUACCUUUUGAUUUCCAACAGUCUACUGAGAGGCCAAGAUUAUUUGCAGGGAAAGAAAAGGGGUCAAAAUGUUUUGCCAGUAACUCCCAAAUCAUCUACAGCCAAGGAGAAAAGUGUUUCAAGACAGAGGUGCUCAAUGGUAUCAAAUACUGCCAACAGACCAAGUAAUACAUGCAUUGAAGUGUCUACUGGAUCUAGCUAUAUGAAUUUUUAAUUUAGGACACUUAGGCCAUACUGAAGCAAGGUGACAAAAUGAAUAGCUACAAUGUCUCGUGAAUCUUGGGUUUCCAUUCACCCUGGUAUUCAAGAGAAAUUCUUGCAUCAUGGAAGUUGCAGUUGGAUAGGACUUUCUCAGCUGAACACUGUCAUCUGCCAGAGCUUCAGGCAAGAACCCAGAACAGAUGAAACCCCAGACAUGACAAAAUAAGCCAAAGAAUACCAGGCCAAGGUGUGAAAGGCCAGAUGAGAACAAGCAGCGUACACGAUUCUGUUGCCAACAGAUCUCCCCUAACAGUGUCGUGCACCAAAUUUCCACAGUGAAUGUCAGGAAAAAAUGGCAAUUGAGGUGGGUGGUCAAAAGAGAAGCACAGUCUAUGAUGAAGUCACCCCAGAGAAGUCCUUUUUCCGUUUUCUCCUGAGAAAUUACCAGAAGAAAUUAAAAUCCUUUUGAGUAUUGCAUU
rnacentral:lncRNA from 1 species